GGAUUGCUGUUUGCUGUAAAGUGAUGGGGAGGCCCUGGAUGGUGAUGAUAUUGGAGUCAAAAUCUGAAGAAAGUGAGUAAUGAGCCAACAGCUACUUGGGGAAGAGCAUGUGUUCUAGGCCAGGGAGCAGCAGAUUCAGAGGCCCUGAAACAGGAGCUUGCAGAAGAAACACUGAGGAGCCCAGGGUGCCUGGAGGGACUGUGUCGGCAACGCACAGAGGAGGAGGGGAGGGUAGAUCCUGGAGGGCUCUACUGGGGAAUUUUGAACAGAGAUGGGAUGAUUCUGACUUUUUAAAAAAGUGUACAAUCCAGUGGUUUUUAGUAUAUUUACAGAGUUAUACAACUAUCACAAUUAAUUUGAGAAUAUUUGCAUCAUCCUGAGAAGAAACGUUCUUUGUACAAAGAAGAAACUUAAGAAACUUACCGGCUUUGCAUGGAGAGUAGAUGGAAGGCCCCAUCAGGACAGACAAGGUCUGGUCAGGCUAGGAUGCAGAGACCACUGAGGUGAGGCAGGCCAGGGGCACACCCAGGAACCAGGGAGGAGCAGGCAGGCAGUAUCCAGAGAGAGGUGGUUGACUACAGUUGGUAGUUCAGUGGGCACAUCAUCUUGUUAGGGAGGAGUAGAGAGGACAGUUGGACCUCCAGGCCAGGAGGUGGGGUUUGGCAAGAGAGGGUGCAGGGCUGCAGGCUGAUGGGUGAUUAGUAUCAAGAUAGCCCAACUUCAGCAUGGAGUUGCAGGACUACGUAAGACUUUUUUUUUUUUUGAGAUGGAGUUUCGCUCUGUCCCCCAGGCUGGAGUGCAAUGGUGUGAUCUUGGCUCACUGCAACCUCUGCCUCGCAGGAUCAAGUGAUUCUCCUGCCUCAGCCUCCUGAGUAGCUGGGAUUAGAGGCAGACACCACCAAACCCGGCUAAAUUUUGUAGUUUUAGUAGAGAUGGGGUUUCACUGUGUUGGCCAGGCUGGUCUUGAACUCCUGACCUCAGGUGAUCCUCCUACCUCGGCCUCCUAAAGUGCUGGGAUUACAGGUGUCAGCCACCACGCCCUGCCAAGACUACAUAAGAGUGUUAAUCCCCAGGAGGACUCAUGUGGUCUGCUUAGAACCCCAGCUUCAGAGGAACUGGCUGUGUUGACCCAGUUGUUCACUGAAACACAAGAUGAGAGUGGGGCCAGCUGGAAGGAGGGCUGAGUACUGAGCCUCAUGCUGCCCACUUGGCUCAGGUUGUUUGCAUUGCUGCCAUUUGGGGCCAGGUUGGUCAUGAGGCCUUGGUUGGGAGUUAGGUGACUCUGCUGUGGAGGUUAGAGGCCAGGGAGCCAGCCAUUAUAGACCGCUUUUGUUAAUACAGAAUCCACUAGAGGAUUCUGCUCUCUGUGUCUGUUCUUUCACUGCAGUAUCUCUCUGAAUAUGUAUCUUAAAGAUAUGUCUGUC
rnacentral:lncRNA from 1 species